UGCGUGCUUGUCACGUGACCAACACAUUGCAACGUGCGGUGCGGUGCAAUGAGUUGGCCGUCUAGACAAGGCUGA
rnacentral:pre_miRNA from 1 species